CCUACGGGCGGCAGCAGUGGGGAAUAUUGGGCAAUGGCCGCAAGCCUGACCCAGCAACGCCGCGUGAAUGAAGAAGGUCUUCGGGUUGUAAACUUCUGUUCUGGGGGACGAACAAAUUACGGUACCCCCAGAAUCAGCCCCGGCCAACCACGUGCCAGCAGCCCCGGUAAUACGUAGGUGGCAAGCGUUAUCCGGAUUUAUUGGGGGUAAAGGGCGGGUAGGUGGGACUGCAAGUUGGAUGUGAAAACUAUGGGCUCAACCCAUGGCCUACCGGUGAAACUAUAUUUCUUGAGUGCAGGAGAGGCAAUCGGAAUUCCGAGUGUAGCGGUGGAAUGCGUAGAUAUGAGGAGGAACACCAGGGGCGAAGGCGAAUUGCUGGACAGUAACUGACACUGAGGCACGAAAGCGUGGGGAGCAAACAGGAUUAGAUACCCUAGUAGUC
rnacentral:rRNA from 1 species